CAAACUAGCUCAGUCGGUAGAGCAUGAGACUCUUAAUCUCAAGGUCGUGGGUUAGAGCCCCACAUACAGCGAGG